rnacentral:misc_RNA from 1 species
AUCCAGGCGCGGAACCCCCUCGGGGUCGGAGCGCCGCCUUCACACCAACCCUUUGCCUAUGUGUACCCCUAUCGCUUCCUCGGCAGGCUCGCCUGCCGCCAGGAACCAACCAAACCCUUUGCAUUAUACAUGAAAACUUCUGAUAACAAACUAAAUUAUUA